UNUGAACUGGGUGACUAGAGUGUGUCAGAGGGAGGUAGAAUUCCACGUGUAGCAGUGAAAUGCGUAGAGAUGUGGAGGAAUACCGAUGGCGAAGGCAGCCUCCUGGGAUAACACUGACGUUCAUGCUCGAAAGCGUGGGUAGCAAACAGGAUUAGAUACCCUGGUAGUCCACGCCCUAAACGAUGUCAAUUAGCUGUUGGGCAACUUGAUUGUUCAGUAGCGUAGCUAACGCGUGAAAUUGACCGCCUGGGGAGUACGGUCGCAAGAUUAAAACUCAAAGGAAUUGACGGGGACCCGCACAAGCGGUGGAUGAUGUGGAUUAAUUCGAUGCAACGCGAAGAACCUUACCUGGUCUUGACAUGUACGGAAUCCUCCAGAGACGGAGGAGUGCCUUCGGGAGCCGUAACACAGGUGCUGCAUGGCUGUCGUCAGCUCGUGUCGUGAGAUGUUGGGUUAAGUCCCGCAACGAGCGCAACCCUUGUCAUUAGUUGCCAUCAUUCAGUUGGGCACUCUAAUGAGACUGCCGGUGACAAGCCGGAGGAAGGUGGGGAUGACGUCAAGUCCUCAUGGCCCUUAUGACCAGGGCUUCACACGUCAUACAAUGGUCGGUACAGAGGGUAGCCAAGCCGCGAGGUGGAGCCAAUCUCACAAAACCGAUCGUAGUCCGGAUUGCACUCUGCAACUCGAGUGCAUGAAGUCGGAAUCGCUAGUAAUCGCAGGUCAGCAUACUGCGGUGAAUACGUUCCCGGGUCUUGUACACAC
rnacentral:rRNA from 1 species